rnacentral:rRNA from 1 species
UACGAAGGGGGCUAGCGUUGCUCGGAAUGACUGGGCGUAAAGGGCGCGUAGGCGGCGAUCAAAGUCAGGCGUGAAAUUCCUGGGCUCAACCUGGGGGCUGCGCUUGAUACUUGGUUGCUUGAGUGGGGAAGAGGGUCGUGGAAUUCCCAGUGUAGAGGUGAAAUUCGUAGAUAUUGGGAAGAACACCGGUGGCGAAGGCGGCGACCUGGUCCUUGACUGACGCUGAGGCGCGAAAGCGUGGGGAG